AUGAUAUGGCGAACCGAGCGUUAGCGAGGUUUCGCGAUCAAACUUGUAUUUAAAACCCACACUUGAACGUAUUUUUAUGUAUAUUUUUUGUAUGAUAAAUUAAAAGA
rnacentral:misc_RNA from 1 species